rnacentral:tRNA from 1 species
CCCCUUGUGGUGUAGUUGGCUAUCACGUUCGGCUGUAAACCGAAAGGUCGCUGGCUCGAUUCCGGCCGAGGGGA